CCUACGGGAGGCAGCAGUGAGGAAUAUUGGUCAAUGGACGCAAGUCUGAACCAGCCAUGCCGCGUGCAGGAAGACGGCUCUAUGAGUUGUAAACUGCUUUUGUACAAGGGUAAACCUGAAUACGUGUAUUCAUCCGAAAGUACUGUACGAAUAAGCAUCGGCUAACUCCGUGCCAGCAGCCGCGGUAAUACGGAGGAUCCAAGCGUUAUCCGGAUUUCUUGGGUUUAAAGGGGGCGUAGGCGGAAGGACAAAUUAGAGGUGAAAUUUGCGAGCUUAACUCGGGCACUGCCUUUGAUACUGUUUAUCUAGAGAGUAGAUGCGGUAGGCGGAAUGUAUGGUGUAGCGGUGAAAUGCUUAGAGAUCAUGCAGAACACCGAUUGCGAAGGCAGCUUACCAGUGUAUAUCUGACGUUGAGGCACGAAAGCGUGGGGAGCAAACAGGAUUAGAUACCCGGGUAGUC
rnacentral:rRNA from 1 species